UUAAGUUAUGCAUCCACUUGUCAAUCACAUAUUUCCAGUUUUGGUAAUUAUCUUCUUUUUCUCAUUUAUUGGUGACGUGGAACCAUUUCUCUGUUUACGGUGGUCCCUCAUGAAAGGACUACAAAUGCAACAAAUGUCAUUCUGGUGUUAUUCGUGUCUUUCCCUCACAGAGUUGGUUUUUUGACUUGUGAUAGAUAUGUGACUGACCAGGUGUGCGAUGACCUCGCAGUCGCUGCCUGUCCUGAACGUGUGGGAGGAGAGCUGCGCCCGGAGCUGUUCAUGGUUGUAGAUCUCUCCAUUCACCUGCAAGGAGUACUUGUUUUAACAGAAAGGACCAAGCUACAAUAGCGGCAGAGAUAUACACAGAAAGUAAACGUACUGUGACGACGAUGGACUUGUCCUCGUUGUAGAGCGGCUGGUCGCCAGAGGCAGGGUCGAUGAUGGCGAGGCGCUGGUGGGAGAGGUAGCAGUCGCCAACCUGGUGCAUGCCGCUCCAGUCGGGGCCGCGGUGCUUGAGCCUGCGCGAGAGCUCAAGCACGCGCACUCUCUUCCCUUGGGUGUCAUCAGCGCAGCCCAGCACCGCCAGUAUGCCGCACAUUUUCGCUGGAUCGACGGCAACAGUAUGUAGCUAGAAGAUCUCUCUCUGUGCUUCUGAAGGAGGAUGGGUGUGCCGUAUGAGUUGCACAAGAGCGUCUAUUUAUAGGCUGCCAAGAGCUGAGCUGAGCUGAGAGUGAGGAGCGUAGCGGGGCGCCGCGGUAGACCAGUAGCAUGUUGCAUGGUGUAUUAUCACAUGUAUUCUAUUCCAUCUUUUCCUUUUCCUUUGGGCUGUUGCGAUGACUCAUCUGAUCCUGACCGCCUUGCCAUCUCAAUGCAUUAUUGAUUAGUUUAUUGCUUCCUGUUCCUUGCUGGUUUUGCAUCCUACUGUACUCAUUAUUGUUUUUCUUCAUCUAUCUUACUCUGCAUUUGGUUAUUA